UUAUUGUGUUAUUUGGGUACUUAAUUCGUUCUCUUAUAUCAAGGGAAGGAGGUCAAGGGGAAGAACAAAGCAGUAGCCCUCUAAGCUCAUGUCCUAUAAAAGAAAAUCGAGUGCCAAGUAGUACACGGAUGAGAGUGUGUUAGUGUGUUAUUUUUGUUUUGAUUUUGAGUUUCUGCCGUUUUGAGAAAUGAUAUUGAACGCCCUCUGUCGUGUUGAGAGAUGAUGUUGAACUCUUUUUGUCGUUUUGAGAGACAUAUUGAACUCUCUUUGUCGUAUUGAGAGAUGAUAUUGAAUUCUCUAUUGUGUUGGAAGAUAGUAUUGAACCUUCCUGUCGAGUUAGAAGAUAUAUUAAAGCCUUUUUGUUGUAUAGGAGGAUGUAUUGAACCAUCUCGUCGUGUUGGGAGGUGGUAUUGAACCCUUCUGUCGUGUAGGAAAAUUAUACUGAAGCCUUCUGUUAUGCAGGGAAAAAACAGCUAAUUUGAAUAAGUAAGGAAAGGAAAAGAAAAUAUUUGAGUGUACAGUGAAGUGGUAUUGAACCCUUCUGUCUGAUUGGAUAACUCUACCGAUCUUGGUAUCAUCUGCGAACUUACUGACAUCACUAGUAAUUCCCGUGUCCAAGUCAUUGAUGUAUAUAAUAAUGAUAACGAAACCUUUAGUCAUGUAGGAAAAAGCAGAUAAUUUGAAUAAGUAAGGAAAGGAACAGAAAAGAUUGGAGUGUAAAUUGAGGGAAAUACUUACUGUUCUAUCUAUCUCUAUCUAUCUACCUAUGUAUCUAUCUGUCUAUCUGUCUCUCUGUUCCCAUUCCUUCCUCCGUUCUAUCUAUCUCCAUCUAUCUACCUAUGUAUCUAUCUAUCUGUCUGUCUCUCCGUUCCCAUUCCUUCCUCCGCCCCACUUUCCUCCUUCGCUAAUGGUCUCGGUUCCGUGUUAAUGCAUCUCUCGUUCAUUAAGUUCCCUCCUGGUUGCUCUUUCCUCCAGGUGCUGCAUUCCCUCCCUCCUUUCCUCCAUUCCCAGGUGUUUCCUCUCACCGUCUUCACUCCUUCCCUCCCCUCCGCCGCGCCUGGAAAAGGAAAAAGAGAAAUAUGAUGAAGUGCUUUAAGCCUGCCUCACGAGUUUUUAGAUUCAGGAAGCGUUGUAAUAUUUUCCUUCAUUUGAGUUUAUUUCUUACAUUAUCGACCCCCUAAAGUAAUGGAAAAGAAGGAAAAGAAAUGAAAAGAAAAGGAAAAGAAUGUUGAAGGGAUUUGAACCUCCCUCACGAGUUUUUAGAUUCAGGAAGCGUUGUAAUAUUUUCCUUCAUUUGAGUUUAUUUCUUACUUUAUCGACCCCCUAAAGGAAUGGAAAAGAAGGAAAAGAAAGGAAAAGGAAAGGAAAAGAAUGUUGAAGGGCUUUGAACCUCCCUCACGAGUUUUAAGAUUCAGGAAACGUUGUAAUAUUUUCCUUCGUUUGAGUUUAUUUCUUACUUUAUUGACCCCAAAGAAAAGAAGGAAAAGAAAAGGAAGGAAGAAGAAGGAAGGAGAGAGAAUAAUAAGAGAAGAGAAAGGGAAACGAGAAUGAAAAAGGGGAGUGAAUGAAAAAGCGCAAAUAAAAAAAAGAGAAAGGCGGUGAAUGAAUAAUCGAAAAAAAAGGAAAAUGAAUGAAAAUCGAAGAAGAGAGAAUGAGAGAGGAGAAGGGAAAGAAAAAUGAAAAAAAGGAAUGGAAGGAAAAUCGCAAGUAAGAAAAAAGACAAAGAAAGUGAGUGAAAAAUAAAAAUAAAAAUCAAGGAAAUGAAUGAAAAUCGAAGGAGAGAAUAAAAAUAAAAUAAAAGGGGAAGAAAAAUGAAAAAAAGGAAGUAAAUAAAAAAUCGCAAAUAGAAAAGAGAAAGAAAGUGAAUGGAAAAUAGCCUCUGGUUUCUGCAAGGGCGAGACAUUUGAAUAUUCCUUAAGACUUGCAAGAAAUAGUUAUAAAAAAAGUAUAUAAAAAAAGUGAAAUCGCCUUUGACCUUCAUUUUUCUCUCUUGCACGAAUGAUAUUUUCUUUAGUAUGUAAAUUUGAUGUUUUUGAAGAGAAAUAAGAGGAAAAAAAGAUAUAGAUAGAUAGGUAGAUAGACAGUAAGACAGAUAAAUAAAUAGGAGUAUAUGAAAAAAGAUGAAAUAGAAGGAAGAAAGAAAAUGAAAAUGGGAAAAAGGGAAAUAAAGACAAAAGAAAAAGAAGAAAUGAAGAGACAGCACAAACAAAGGAAAAGAAAAAACAAAGAAACAGGGAAAAUAAAGGAAAACGUAUUGAGAAAGAAAGAAAGAAGAAAAGAAAGAAAAUUAAAACCCAGAGAAAGAAAGAAAAAAGAAAACCCAGAGAAAGAAAGGAAGAAAGAAAAUCCAGAGAAAGUAAGAAAGAAAAAGAAAGAAAAGAAAAAAACAGUUAAGAAAGAAAGAAAGAAAACCUAGUAGAGAAAGAAUGGAAGAAAAUCGCAGAGAAAGAAAAAAGAAAAAGUCCAGAGAAGAAAAAAAAAAGACAACGAAAGCCCGGUAAAAGAAAAAAAAGGGUAAGGAAAGAAAAUCGCAGAGAAAGAAAGAAAAAAAAACAGAAAAA